ensembl:lncRNA uncharacterized LOC115019944
CAGUUUAUGUAUACAUACUAAUACUAUAAUGUAUGGUGUGUGUGCGUGCGUGCGUGAGUGAGGGAGAGAGAGACACCACGCGCACCUAUGAUUGUGCACAAGCGUAUGUUCAUCACGUGAUCUUUUUCCCAAGAAGCAAAGCUGUGGGGGAGAACCUGAUUUGCAUAUUGGGCGCCUGUUCGACACAUCCUGCGACUUUAACCAAUAAGGUCGACACAUGCAGCAAACCACGCCCGCGCGGCAACUCGUGUCGCGCGCCUCAUCAGCAUUGUACUGGCGGUGGAGAAGACAAAAGUUGUCAGUCACUCCUUACCUCUCAGGGCAGGUUUUUCAAAAUCGGGGACUUUUUUUUGUAUUAGUUAAAUUGAAGUUUGUGUUUGUAGUGGAUAACAGAGAGCUCGGAAACGACAUUGACGCCUAUGAAGAAGCUGCUGAGUUCACCAGCUGAAGCCAAUUUACGUUACCGUGGAAAAGUUACUGUUGGGUACCCCGUGGGGUUUAAAGUUCAGCUAGCGUCACUGGCAGCUAGCAGGUAGUUAGCUCCAUAUUGUAACAGAUUAGUGUGGUCACAAUGGCAGCUGUGUGUCAGCCCCGACGUGCCUUAGUGGAAAUACCUGCUCCACAGCCCAAAAUUGCAGCUCGAAUAAGGAGGUCCUAUUUAGACAUUUUAAGUGCUCGUUUGGCUCCAUCUCCAUUUCCAAGAGGGAGAAGCGCAACUACAAACACAACACGUGUGCACUCAUUGGACUUGUCCAUUGGUGGGGUGUGGAGGGGGAGGAUAGAGGAGCAGUGUGAGAAGAUGGACGGGCACCAUACCCCUCUCUCCAAACAGCAGCUUGUACAGCUAAUCAGAUCGCUCAUCCUGGUUGAACAGAGCCAAGAACCCAGGAUCCUAGCAUCUGACCUGAAGUAUCUCCAGGAAGACCUGCAACUAAAGAAAGCAAAUGUUUAUAGGUCCAUACCUUACUCACGGCUUGGCUCUAACAGGGACGCUCGCUGCUACAGAAAGGCAUAUCCUCACCUGGUGGCAUUCAAAGUUUCCUGUCAGGAGUGGGGCCAAGUUCUUCUGAGGAACAAUGAGUGGGACGCUGUGUUGGAGCACACAUUAAUGGCGUGGCGCUACACCAGCGAGUUGCCGCAGUGGGAUACAGCAAACCAUAAUGCUCUCCGAGAACAGUGUUACAGCAUUUUGGCAGCUCACAGCCUCACUUGUCUCCAGCACUACCACCCUGAACCCAACAGAGGACGCGAGCUGCUCAGAAGGUUGAACAUGGCUCGGUUGCACAGCCAGUCAAUCGUGCAUUGUAUUCAAGAGUUGCAGAGGAUUAUGGGAUGUGCUGAUGACUCAUCCAUGGACACAAAAUAACACAAACACUAUCAAUCCAGCUGGCUACACCCCAGUGACAAGUGUUUG